GGAUAUAAACCGCUAGGAAGAAGAUAUAUAUCUAUAUAUAUAUAUAUAUAUAUAUUCGAAAGAAUUUUUCGAAAGAAUCUCAGGAGAAAGGUUUGUCUUUGAAAAAAGGAUUUACUUUGCAUUUGAAAGUUGAAAUUUACACGUUUACACAGUGCUGUGGACCUCUAUGUUAACCAGCAGCAGGUUUCACAAAAAGGACAACCCUCAAACGGGCUGUACAACAUUAUACAGUGAGACAAAAACAUAGAUUAUAGCAGCUAUCUUCCUCCCGCACGGAAUUGGCAGUCUUGGUGUCUGCUGCGAAGCAUCCUCAUAUCUCCAUGACCUCGUCUGGUAUCCACUCCCUCCUCUGUAAGAGAUAGAAAAGCAAAACACCUCUCUGCUCUGCCUAGCCUUGAUAAUCUAAUGUUAUUAUGCAUUGUUCUUCUAGUGAUUCAAAGUUGGUUUAGACCCAGAGACUUAUUCUAAUCAUAAUCUGUGUGUAAGCGUGCUUGCAAUUACCCCUCUGCACUCUAAGUCAUUUCUUACAAUAUAUCAGUCUGGACAGUCAUGCCGAACGAAGCUUAUGACCUUCAGAAGACUGAGUGCCAACUCAUUAUGAGCACAUUUGCAGUAAAUGUCCGAAAAAUGAUUAUAACCAGUUAUUUUAGUAAGAGAAAUCAAACAUUUUCAAUCCCAACAAUACACACACACACACACACACAUAUAUAUAUGUGUGUGUGUGUGUGUGUGUGUGUGGAUGGGGAGGAGGGUUUUAAACUGUCAGCUUACAACAGGAAUAUCAAGAAGUGCAAGCUUUUUUUCUUCCACAUGAGCCCCAGGCAUAAAGCGAGUAUGGACCUAACAGAAUCCCUCCAAAAACCUGUAUAGUUUAUGUCAUCGGGGAAUGGCUGCAAUCACAGCAUUGUAAGAUGGUGACAGAUGUACCCUUAGGCCCCCUCCUUGGUUCAGAGAUGGUCUUUCCCUUUUCACGUAAAUGGCCUCCUUCACUCUGCGCUUAAACCAGCGUUCGUCUCUGUCCAGGAUGUGUACAUCCUUGUCAUUAAAAAUGAAAAAUAUAUUGUAUAUAUGGGAUAUAUGGUAACAUUAUAUACAAUAUAAUGAUAUUACAAAUAGAAAUUAAACUGGUAAAAUAUUUAUAGGUGGAAUGUUGGAAAGUAUUCUCUGCCAUUUGUUGACAGAAGUUGUUUGAAUGAAGAGACUCUCGAGCUUGAUAAUCACUGAGUUUGUCUUGACUACAGAUUUCUGAAUAAAACAGGCUCUUCAGCUCUGAAUGCUUUUGAUUCUAAAACCUAUUCUCCUCUUUAACUAUUUAAUAAAUCCAGAGAGUUGACUGACAGCAACAGUUGUGAGAAUGGAACAUUUUUACAGACACACAGAAGCAUUCAUUAUCUCUGCGUGGGUGUCACAGAUGAUGACAGUUUAGUGGAAUGCAGUUAGUACCAGGAGGUGCUUCAGGUGUUUUACAUUUCAACAUAUCCCAGACCCUGGACAGGUCACAAGUCUGAUGCAGGACUAACACACAUUUACACCUACAACCAAUUAAUAAUCACAGAUUAACCUAACAUGUCUGUCUUUGGACUUUGGUGCCACGGUCCACAGAGACACAGGGAGAACACACUGAAAGACCCGCUAGAUUCAGAGGCUGGCAGCAGUUCCACUUUAAAACAUCUUAAAUUAUAUUCGUCUUUUAUUAGUGACAAUAUUAGAAAACCCUACACUGUGUACAAACAUUGAGCACUUCUUAUUAUACAUUAGAAGGUUCCCUCUUCUUGGACCUUAUUCCACUCUCAAACAGGUGAAUGAGAGUUCCUGUUCAGGCACGACAUGGAAACUGACGUAUCCAGAAACUAUUUUCCAAAUAAGUCUGUUUGCGUGUCAGUUUUUCUGUGGUUAAAUACUUUUAAUUACCUUUCCCAGUAAUACACACCCUGUUCUCACAUUACAAAAAAUGAAGCAAUCAUGAACCCUGUGUAACAGCCCCUAUGGUGUGGUGUCUCUUUAAGACACCCAAGUCGAGGGUUAUUGUUGUCAUCAGUAUGGGCCACUGCCCUCUCUCUGUGAUUCUAUGGACAUGUGCUUGCACGCUAGUGCAUGGGGAGAGACCUUUCUUUUGUUUUUCUUUUUGUUUGCAACGCUUGGGUUGUAUGAACACUGGGCGUUAUGUUGUUGAGCCACAGCCGUUCAGCCGGGCUUUUAUAUGGUUGUUGAAGAUGGCGUAUUAAAGAACCACCGUGGAUUACCGAUACCAGCGUGGGCCAGAAAAACAUCAAAGCUGAGUCUGGACAGAACGUCACUCUGCCAUGCCGAACUCCAAACAGCGAACAUCCUCACAUUACUGUAGAGUGGAGCAAACCUGACCUGGGGGAUCAAUAUGUGCUUUUGUACCGGGACGGGCAUGUUGACUCACACAACCAGCAUCCAUCUUUUACGAACCGGGUGGAUCUGCAGGACAGACAGAUGAAGGAUGGAGAUGUGUCUUUGAUUCUGAAGGAUGUGACAAUUAAUGACACUGGAUCAUAUGAGUGUCGUGUCAAGACAGAAACAACCCGCAGAAAGAGAGCUAAUCUCAGUGGUGACCCCAUCAGCACCAUCGCCCUGAGAGUUGAUCCUCCAGGUCAGACAGGAGGAGACACAGAGGAUGGAG
ensembl:lncRNA